CGGACGGGUGAGUAACGCGUGGAAAACCUGCCGUAUACUGGGGGAGUAACACUUAGAAAUAGGUGCUAAUACCGCAUAAGCGCACAGCUUCGCAUGAAGCGGUGUGAAAAACUCUGGUGGUAUACGAUGGUUCCGCGUCUGAUUAGCUAGUUGGUGGGGUAAUGGCCUACCAAGGCAACGAUCAGUAGCCGGCCUGAGAGGGUGAACGGCCACAUUGGGACUGAGACACGGCCCAAACUCCUACGGGAGGCAGCAG
rnacentral:rRNA from 1 species